UACAUGGGGUGCAAACGUUGCUCGGAAUUAUUGGGCGUAAAGCGCGCGUAGGCGGUUACUCAAGUCGGAUGUGAAAGCCCUCGGCUUAACUGAGGAAGUGCACCCGAAACUGAGUAGCUAGAGUACGAAAGAGGGUCGCGGAAUUCCCGGUGUAGAGGUGAAAUUCGUAGAUAUCGGGAGGAACACCGGUGGCGAAGGCGGCGACCUGGGUCGAUACUGACGCUGAGGCGCGAAAGCGUGGGGAGCAAACAGG
rnacentral:rRNA from 1 species